rnacentral:tRNA from 1 species
GGGGAUGUGGCUCAGUGGUAGAGCACUUGCCUAGCAGCACAGGACCCUGGGUCUAAUCCCCAGUACCCCCU